rnacentral:tmRNA from 1 species
GGGGCCGCCUGGUUUUGACAGCACCAGAGAGGGAUUGUGUAAGCAUGCAGUGCGUUGUGUAAUUAGCACUUUAAUCUGAAUGCUCAAAUUUUAACUGGCAACGAAGAGUUUGCUAUGGCUGCCUAAUCCAGGAUUAGGACGUCGUUUAGGCCGCGUGAACGGGUAGUUCCAACACCCAAUUCCGCCGCCGACAUCAUCAAACAAGUUGGAAUGCUGUUGUUUCAGGCUGUGCGAACAACAUAAGACCUAUACAGCUAAGCGGUAGAUUGGUUUGCUCUUUUCCUGUUUACUGCCGACAACCAAUAGAAGAGAUAAGCAUGUAGAAGACUUUUUUGAUCGGUGUUUGGACGCGAGUUCGAUUCUCGCCGGCUCCACAA